rnacentral:rRNA from 1 species
UGAACGCGAAGAACCUUACCUACUUUUGACAUCCACAGAACUUUCCAGAGAUGGAUUGGUGCCUUCGGGAAAUGUGAGACAGGUGCUGCAUGGCUGUAGUCAGCUCGUGUUGUGAAAUGUUGGGUUAAGUCCCGCAACGAGCGCAACCCUUAUCCUUUGUUGCCAGCACGUAAUGGUGGGAACUCAAAGGAGACUGCCGGUGAUAAACCGGAGGAAGGUGGGGAUGACGUCAAGUCAUCAUGGCCCUUACGAGUAGGGUUACACACGUGCUACAAUGGCAUAUACAAAGAGAAGCGAACUCGCGAGAGCAAGCGGACCUCAUAAAGUAUGUCGUAGUCCGGAUCGGAGUCUGCAACUCGACUCCGUGAAGUCGGAAUCGCUAGUAAUCGUAGAUCAAGAAU